AAAGUCUACAUUUCUGGAUUCUCUGAGAAAAUCUAAUCUGGUCACCUGGGCCUGAACUUGGCAACAGCCAGCAGCAGAUGCCUUGGAAUCCUGGAGGCUUUGGAACUCUAUGCUGGAUCUUCUGCAUCUGGCUGGCCAACAAGGCAAGAAUGAGCCACCGUGGAAUGCACAGAGGAGGUAUUUAGGUUGCCAGGCCUGGAAAUGACACACAUCACUGCCAUCCACCUUCCACUUGCCAAAACUCUCACAGACCUGCAAGGACAGAAAUGUAAUUAAGCUGUGUGUCCUAGGGGUGUGGGGGAAUGGAAAUUGAUAAAAUGCUAAGAUUCUCUGCUACCCAUUUCUUUGAGUAUUUGCUGGGCAUGUGUAACUUAAAAC
rnacentral:lncRNA from 10 species